rnacentral:rRNA from 1 species
UACGGGGGGAGCAAGCGUUGUCCGGAAUCACUGGGCGUAAAGGGCGCGUAGGCGGCCUGAUAAGUAGGGGGUGAAAUCCUGCGGCUUAACCGCAGGGCUGCCUUCUAAACUGUCAGGCUCGAGCACAGUAGAGGCAGGUGGAAUUCCCGGUGUAGCGGUGGAAUGCGUAGAGAUCGGGAAGAACAUCAGUGGCGAAGGCGGCCUGCUGGGCUGUUGCUGACGCUGAGGCGCGACAGCGUGGGGAGCAAACAGG